UAAUACGAAGGGGGCGAGCGUUGUUCGGAUUUACUGGGCGUAAAGGGCGCGUAGGCGGCCUUCCAAGUCGAGUGUGAAAGCCCCGGGCUCAACCUGGGAGGUGCGCUCGAGACUGGCGGGCUGGAGUUCGGGAGAGGAGCGUGGAAUUCCCAGUGUAGAGGUGAAAUUCGUAGAUAUUGGGAAGAACACCGGUGGCGAAGGCGGCGCUCUGGACCGAGACUGACGCUGAGGCGCGAAGGCGUGGGGAGCAAACAGGAUUAGAUACCCUGGUAGUCCACGCGGUAAACGAUGUGUGCUAGACGUUGGGGAGCCUAGCUCUUCGGUGUCGCAGCUAACGCUUUAAGCACACCGCCUGGGGAGUACGGCCGCAAGGUUA
rnacentral:rRNA from 1 species